CGCUCCCGGACCCAGUACCACCUGGGGCGCGACUCUCCCCGGGGGGGCUCAACGUGGAACUCCCGAGGCUCGUCCCUUUCGGAGCAGCGACCAGACACCCCCAACCCCGCCUGCUCGCCCCUGGGCCCAGGACAGACCGGAGAUGGGAGCCCGAGGCGCCGUCUGGGUCCCGGAUUCCAUCCCAGACCCUGGAAGCCGGAGGGGCCGGAGGACCCGGCCUGGGGCCGGGGGUGUCGGAGUUGGCCCUCCCGGUUAGAUUACCUGUCAAUUGAGCAGAUUCCCCAGAACCAAGGCCUGGGCGCUCCCUGGGAUCCUUCCGCCCUUCCUGGAACUGAGCUCCUGCCUCUGAGGCCCCUUCCACCAACAUUGAGCGUUCGUUGCGGUUUGCCUGUGGUUGUAGGAACCCGGAUCCUGCCCUCAGGAGGCCCACAGUGGGCACAGGCUGCCCAGAGAAGGAGCUCGGAUGCUUCUAGAAGCUGCUCCUCCCUGCACUGCUAGGACGCCGGUGGGAGGCUUGACUGGUAGAAAAGUGCAUUUUCUCUGGGAUUUGGGACCCCAGGCCUGUGAAUUUUGGGAACCUCCUAGGUAUCCACUGAGGCGAAGUUGUAGACUAGAGCUCUCUAUCUAUUAAACACAGGAAAGGCUAAAUAACUUGCCCGAGGUGGCACAGCUAAAUCCAGUUCCUAGACUGAAAAAUGCUAAGCAGGCAGGCCCAGAGCCUGCAGUUUUAGCCACAAAACCACCAGACGGCAGGAAAGGAAGCAGAUUCUGGCUGCAGUGUGAGUGAUCUCGCUACAUGAGUGAUCACGCCAACAACAUGAGUUUCCCGGCCCCCUGGGCACACCGUGGGAGCCUCCUCACAAGGAAGGGCUUUGCAGGGCAGCCGCCUUGCCCGCCCCCCCGCCCCCGACUGGACACUUCUGCUCCCACAUUCAAGCCUACAGGAUGGAGUCUUGAGUCAAUGGCUGUCACGAAUGGAGAAGGGCCUGGCAUCUCUGUGUCCCUUCUGACCGUGGAGAGAAUGGAGAAGAGGUGCAGAUACACGUGCUUGCGGGCGGGGUGUCAUUGUCAAAGCUCAUCACGGUGGCCACAGAGUUUUCUCUUCUCCAGAGUGGUCGGUAUCCGGUUGGCCUGCGUGUGUAUGCAUGUGUAUAUGCAUGUGUGUGCGUGUGUAUGUGUGUGCCCUUCCUCUGCCCCUGCGGAAGCCUUUGAGUCAUAACAAUAACUCAUCUAGCCCAUUGUCAAGGCUAAUUUACACUUCCCCAGCUUGAUGCUUGAUGCCUCCCGGACUGACGCUAGCUUUCUCCUCUCCCCAAGCCCGCUGUCCCCUCCCCGAGCUGGAUGCCCUCCAGGAAGCAGUUGUGGUUGAAGGCAAAGACAUGUCAGGUCAGCUAACAAUGACGAGCCUGUGUCAGGCAGCAGGCUGCCCUGGGCCCAGGCCCCUGCUCCAGGUCAGAGGCGUUUCUGAGAAGUGAAGUCCAGGCUCCAGGCUGUGAGCGGUCUCAGCUGAGAAGACUUAAAGGCGGGCUGUGGGGUGGGGGUGACUCAGUGGCCGGGGGCUGGAGUCACCUGGGCAACCUCCACUCCCAGGUCUGGAGGUUGACGCUGGCCGUCAGCGGGACGCUCAGCUGGGCGGCAGCCAGCACACCUGUGUGUGGCUUCUCCACGUGGAACAGCGUGGAUUUCUGCUCGAGGCGGCAGCCACGUGCCGAGAUCAAGUGCCCAGGAGACCCGGCAGAAAGGCUAGGGCUGCCACGAUGAAGUACCACCAGCGGAGUGAGUUAACAGUUACAGUUCAGGAGCUAGAACAGGGGUGGGCAAACUUUUUGACUCGAGGGCCACAAUGGGUUCUUA